rnacentral:rRNA from 1 species
AUUGAACGCUGGCGGCAGGCCUAACACAUGCAAGUCGAGCGGAGCGGCGGACGGGUGAGUAAUGCCUAGGAAUCUGCCUGGAAGUGGGGGACAACGUCCGGAAACGGGAGCUAAUACCGCAUACUAUCAGAUGAGCCUAGGUAGGAUUAGCUAGUUGGUGGGGUGAAGGCAUACAAAGUCGACGAUCCGUAACUGGUCUGAGAGGAUGAUCAGUCACACGGGAACUGAGACAUGUGCCAGACUCUUACGGGCGGCAGCAGUGGGGAAUUUUUGACAAUGGGCGGAAUCCUUAUCCAGCCAUGCCGCGUGUGUGAAGAAGGUCUGCGGAUUGUAAAGCACUUUAAGUUGGGCGGCGUUACCAACAGAAUAAGCACCGGCUAACUUCGUGCCAGCCGCCGCGGUAAUAC